rnacentral:rRNA from 1 species
UUAUCAAAGAUUUAUUGCUUUGAGAUGGACCCGCGGCGCAUUAGCUAGUUGGUAAGGUAACGGCUUACCAAGGCAACGAUGCGUAGCCGACCUGAGAGGGUGAUCGGCCACAUUGGAACUGAGACACGGUCCAGACUCCUACGGGAGGCAGCAGUGGGGAAUAUUGCGCAAUGGGGGAAACCCUGACGCAGCAACGCCGCGUGGGUGAUGAAGGUCUUCGGAUUGUAAAGCCCUGUUUUCUAGGACGAUAAUGACGGUACUAGAGGAGGAAGCCACGGCUAACUACGUGCCAGCAGCCGCGGUAAUACGUAGGUGGCGAGCGUUGUCCGGAUUUACUGGGCGUAAAGGGUGCGUAGGCGGAUGUUUAAGUGGGAUGUGAAAUCCCCGGGCUUAACCUGGGGGCUGCAUUCCAAACUGGAUAUCUAGAGUGCAGGAGAGGAAAGCGGAAUUCCUAGUGUAGCGGUGAAAUGCGUAGAGAUUAGGAAGAACACCAGUGGCGAAGGCGGCUUUCUGGACUGUAACUGACGCUGAGGCACGAAAGCGUGGGUAGCAAACAGGAUUAGAUACCCUGGUAGUCCACGCCGUAAACGAUGGAUACUAGGUGUAGGGGGUAUCAACUCCCCCUGUGCCGCAGUUAACACAAUAAGUAUCCCGCCUGGGGAGUACGGUCGCAAGAUUAAAACUCAAAGGAAUUGACGGGGGCCCGCACAAGCAGCGGAGCAUGUGGUUUAAUUCGAAGCAACGCGAAGAACCUUACCUGGACUUGACAUCCCUUGCAUAGCCUAGAGAUAGGUGAAGCCCUUCGGGGCAAGGAGACAGGUGGUGCAUGGUUGUCGUCAGCUCGUGUCGUGAGAUGUUAGGUUAAGUCCUGCAACGAGCGCAACCCUUGUUAUUAGUUGCUACCAUUAAGUUGAGCACUCUAAUGAGACUGCCUGGGUAACCAGGAGGAAGGUGGGGAUGACGUCAAAUCAUCAUGCCCCUUAUGUCCAGGGCUACACACGUGCUACAAUGGUAGGUACAAUAAGACGCAAGACCGUGAGGUGGAGCAAAACUUAUAAAACCUAUCUCAGUUCGGAUUGUAGGCUGCAACUCGCCUACAUGAAGCUGGAGUUGCUAGUAAUCGCGAAUCAGAAUGUCGCGGUGAAUACGUUCCCGGGCCUUGUACACACCGCCCGUCACACCAUGAGAGCUGGUAACACCCGAAGUCCGUGAGGUAACCGUAAGGA